rnacentral:rRNA from 1 species
AUUGAACGCUGGCGGCAGGCCUAACACAUGCAAGUCGAACGAGUGGCGGACGGGUGAGUAAUGUCUGGGAACCUGCCCGAUGGAUGGGGAUAACUACUGGAAACGGUAGCUAAUACCGCAUACCAUCGGAUUUGCCCAGAUGGGAUUAGCUAGUAGGUGGGGUAACGGCUCACCUAGGCGACGAUCCCUAGCUGGUCUGAGUGGAUGACCAGCCACCCUGGAACUGAGACACGUUCCAGACUCCUACGGGAGGCAGCAGUGGGUAAUAUUGCCCAAUGGGCGCAAGCCUGAUGCAGCCAUGCCGCGUGUAUGACGAAGGCCUUCGGGCUUUAAAGUACUUUCAGCGAGGAGGCGUUACUCGCAGAAGAAGCACCGGCUAACUCCGUGCCAGCAGCCGCGGUAAUUC